UAGGUUGUGUCUCCUAUGUUGUCUAUUGUUGCUAACAAAACUUAGUUUUGAUUUCUGUGGCUUAAAUCAUGUAGAGCACCCAUAUAGCUUUUAUUAAAUCGAUGGUAGCACACAGUGGAAAUAUGACCUAUCUUUCCGCAUACCUGUUAUAUAGGUUUGUUGCCUCCUCCAAAUCGAUUUCCUCUUCCUCUGGAUCCUCUGCCUCUGCUGCUAUUAUUUGUUGUUCUUCCUCCUAAAAAGUACUAAUCAUUGUUUCUGCUAUUGAAGUUUCUAUUCCUGGCAUAGUUAACAACAAGUUGUCCAAGAUUCAAGGUAGUCAUGCCAGUGUUUAGCUACUAUAAUCUCCUUUCGUAACUCAAUAGUUUUGACUAAAUUUCUAUCAAGCUAAUCAUUUUCUUUUUAGUGAUUUAACAUAUUAGAGGUUUGUAAUCUUGAGAAUCAAGUCUAGCU
rnacentral:lncRNA from 1 species